GAUGAACGCUGGCGGCGUGCCUAAUACAUGCAAGUCGAGCGACCCUCUUCGGAGGUUAGCGGCGGACGGGUGAGUAACACGUGGGCAACCUACCUUGUAGAUGGGGAUAACAUCGAGAAAUCGGUGCUAAUACCGAAUAACACUUUUCUCCACAUGGAGAAAAGUUAAAAGUUGGCUUCUGCUAACACUACAAGAUGGGCCCGCGGCGCAUUAGCUAGUUGGUGAGGUAACGGCUCACCAAGGCGACGAUGCGUAGCCGACCUGAGAGGGUGAUCGGCGACACUGGGACUGAGACACGGCCCAGACUCCUACGGGAGGCAGCAGUAGGGAAUCUUCCGCAAUGGACGAAAGUCUGACGGAGCAACGCCGCGUGAGUGAUGAAGGCCUUCGGGUCGUAAAACUCUGCUGUUAGGGAAGAACAAGUACCGUUCGAAUAGGGCGGUACCGUGACGGUACCUAACCAGAAAGCCACGGCUAACUACGUGCCAGCCGCCGCAGUAAUAC
rnacentral:rRNA from 1 species